rnacentral:rRNA from 1 species
UACGUAGGGCGCAAGCGUUGUUCGGAAUUACUGGGCGUAAAGGGCUCGUAGGCGGCCAACUAAGUCAGACGUGAAAUCCCCAGGCUCAACCUGGGAACUGCGUCUGAUACUGAUUGGCUUGAAUCCGGGAGAGGGAUGCAGGAUUCCAGGUGUAGCGGUGAAAUGCGUAGAUAUCUGGAGGAACACCGGUGGCGAAGGCGGCAUCCUGGACCAAUAUUGACGCUGAGGAGCGAAAGCCAGGGGAGCAAACGGG